AUACGUUACUUGGCGGCCAUUGUCCUGCUGCGGUGUGCUGCUCCGUCUAUUGUGCCAGUUGUCGCAUUCGAGGUUGGACUUUUGAGCCUUUUGUCUGCAUCGGCGGUGCCAAUUGUGUGUAUCGUUGGGAUCCAGCUGGCCAACAACAAAGCCCAGCAAUCCGAGAAAGCCGGAGAAACGCAGAAGAAGCCUCAGACCCAAAAAAAAAGAUGAAAAUAAUAACAAUAAGAAAGGCAAAAGAAAACGAAAGAACAGGCUGUAAAUCAAGCCAAGCCGGUUCGGGUUUGUUUGCUGCCAAAAAAUACAAGAAUUAAUUAUAAUAAUAACAAAGAGCAAGAGAACUUUGACCUCACUCCGCGUCCGACUCCGACUCCGCAUCCGCACCCGCAAUGGCCUCUGUAUCCGCGCGCGUUCGAAUGGCUAAUUGUGAAUGUGGAUUACAAAUUCGCGUGUGCAAGUAUGGAAGACCAAGAGAGAAAAAAAUGGAAAAAAUAAAUUUGCCAGCAUUUCCGCCUUGUGGUCGUCACUGGGGCACCACCACAGCCGGUGGUGCAGCCACUCCGGGCCUGGGAUCCCGAUCCCUCGAGUACACGGGGCGUGACUUCAAUUAAAGUGAUUUGUGGCCUCCGUUUUUGACAUUUGGGACAUAAAUAGCUGGCCUGAUUCAUGGGGCUGCUGAAGCAUGUACAUUCGUAGUCCUCUGGCCACCGGCUAACCAACAAAAAAUGAAUUUGCCACAAGGCGCACAGUCACGCAUUGACGUCCAGACACGAAAUCGCCACUAACCUGGCUAAUUGAAAGAGCCCCAACAUGAGCUGAAAUUCCCAAACAAAAUGCCGUCGGCUGUCAGCCAUACAAAUUCAUGGCGCAGCUGAAGAAGAAGAAGAAGCAGUCCAGAGCGGAAUUAAUGAAGCGCCAUCAUGGCCCAGUCGAGCAAGAAGAAGAUGUAGCAGGCAGCAGCAGAAUUCCAUUGGAAUGUGUGAGAUUGGGCUGCGUCGACAGCGCUGCCAGCGUCCACGGCAGCCAUCAUGGAUGUGAAAGAGAGCGUUGCCCCUCUCGCUCGUGCCCACGGAGGUAUGCGACUUCGGAGCGGCCAUGCCUGGCACUCACCUGCGACGGCGGCUGUUGUGAAGUUCUUGCGACGUGAGCGAGCGAUUUUCGGGGCUUCCGAAAUUCAGAAAACCAAACAGGACCAGCUGCAGGAUGGCCAGAGGAACGAGGGGUGCGUUUGUGCGGCCCAAUUUUAUCCAGAGUCUCUGCGACUGCGUUGUUCUGCAAAAUAAAAUCUACAAAAAAGGAGAAAACAUCUAGGGUUUGUUUAUCCAACGACCCCUGGAGCGAGGACUGAACCCGCCGGCAGCUGCAUCAGUUCUUCGAGGGACGGACAGAUGGAUACCCGGGGCACUCGUCUGUGUCUUCGCGUGUGUGGUGUGUUUUUAUAACAUUUGUGGAUUACGCCUAUAAAAACUACACCUCCCCGCGGAGCCAGCCGAGCUGCUGCUCCAGCCAACUCCGGCCACUACAAAAGGAUUACAUAUUAUUGUAACGAGUCCUCGAUACAACCUGUCGCACGGGAGAUUACAACUGAGCUGUUUCUUUUAUGGUUUGUUCCGCUUUUCGUUUAACACUCCCGAGGAUCACACGCAACUCCGGUUCCCACCACCACAACUUACAUACAGCCUGGAGAGCUCAACUCAAAAUAGUGUUUUAUUGCUUAAAAUUACGAAUCUUUUAUUUAUUUAUUUUUUCUUUCUGCUGCUCUCUCACUCACCCAGUUUCAAUUUUUAUUAGUUUAUUACGAUUAUUAUCUUUUAAUGGGCCUCGUUUGCACCACCAGCGUUUACCUCAUUGUUUUUGUUUUCUU